ACUCCUUUAGCUCAUUCGGUUAGAGCGUUUGAAUAGAAAUCGGGAGGUCCUAGCUUCAAAUCCCGCAAGCAGUC
rnacentral:tRNA from 1 species